GGGGAGGGGUUCUGGUGGGGAAAUCAGAGCUGGAGCCCUUCUUGAGUCCUUUUUCUAGUUAACCCCACAGCAAGAGUCAGGUCUCAUACCAUGAAAGCAUUCAAGCGUUCAGCCCAUCAGUCAGCAAACAUUUACUGAGCAUCUACUAUGUGCACCAGCCCUAUGCUAAGUACCAAGGACAUAGAAGUGAACAGAUUAGAUGUGGCUGCUGCUCCUGUCAACAUUCUAGAAGUAGUGAGUAAACAAAUACUCCGACACAUAGUGUUCCAGCUGCCAUCAAGACAAGAGUCAUGAAGGAGACAUUUGGAGGUGGGAUAUGGAGACACCCGUCAGAGGCUCAGAGACCCAGAGAUGUCCAAAGACAUUCUAUUAAAUGAGAUGGAAAUUAAAUGACAAGCCAGCCCUGUGCACUGGAGGUGGAGGAGGAGAGCACUCCAGAAGCCGGGGUCGUCAGAGAGCUCUCUUCCAAAUGUGUUUUCACGCAAACGGUGGAGCCCAGUGAACCUUGGACAUGAAGCUCUUUCCAAAUGAGUCUUUAAUAAUGUAGUUAUACAAACUGAGCCUAAUUAAAUUGUACCCGUUGAAAAUGCACUGUUGUACAUCUGAAUGAUGAAAUCGGGAUCAAAAAGCAAUCCAGAAAAGAU